AUUUAAGGUUUAAUCUGCUCAAUGAUUAUUUAAAUUGCCGCAGUAUUUUGACUGUGCAAAGGUAGCAUAAUAAUUAGUUUCUUUAUUGGGAACUGGAAUGAAUGAUUGGACGAGAAAAUUUCUGUCUCUUUAUUAUUUUAAUUGAAUUUUACUUUUAAGUUAAAAGGCUUAAAUUUUAUUAGAGGACGAGAAGACCCUAUAGAGUUUAAUUUUUAUUUAAAUAAUUAUUUUUAGUAUUUAUAUAUAUUAUUUAAAUAAAAAUUUAGUUGGGGUGACUAAAAGAUAAGAAUAACUCUUUUAAUUUUAAUCAAUUAUUUUUGAUUAUAAAAUCUUUAUUUUUAAUUUUAAAAUAAAUUACCUUAGGGAUAACAGCGUAAUUCUUUUUUAAAGUUCUUAUUAAAAGAAGAGUUUGCGACCUCGAUGUUGGAUUAAAAUUAAUUUUAGGUGUAGAAGCUUGAAAAUUAAGUCUGUUCGACUUUUAAAAUUUUACAUGAUCUGAGUUUAAACCGGUGUGAGCCAGGUUGGUUUCUA
rnacentral:rRNA from 1 species